GGACAUCAGGAGGUUAGUGCAAUGGCAUAAGCCAGCUUGACUGCGAGCGUGACGGCGCGAGCAGGUGCGAAAGCAGGUCAUAGUGAUCCGGUGGUUCUGAAUGGAAGGGCCAUCGCUCAACGGAUAAAAGGUACUCCGGGGAUAACAGGCUGAUACCGCCCAAGAGUUCAUAUCGACGGCGGUGUUUGGCACCUCGAUGUCGGCUCAUCACAUCCUGGGGCUGAAGUAGGUCCCAAGGGUAUGGCUGUUCGCCAUUUAAAGUGGUACGCGAGCUGGGUUUAGAACGUCGUGAGACAGUUCGGUCCCUAUCUGCCGUGGGCGCUGGAGAACUGAGGGGGGCUGCUCCUAGUACGAGAGGACCGGAGUGGACGCAUCACUGGUGUUCGGGUUGUCAUGCCAAUGGCACUGCCCGGUAGCUAAAUGCGGAAGAGAUAAGUGCUGAAAGCAUCUAAGCACGAAACUUGCCCCGAG
rnacentral:rRNA from 1 species